UGUCUUGUGCCAGUGUGUUUCGUCUGUGCAUGCUCACUUCAGCCUUGUUCUUGCCACAGCCUUGAUUUUUGCCUUGGGCUUCUUUCCUUUCUUUUGCCUCUGCACCUGAGUGAUUUUGUGCUGAUCCAUCCAUCCAUUUUCUAUGCCGGCCUUGUCCCUGCAGGAUCACCAGGGGGCUGGAGCUGACAACAGGUUUUCUAAUACACAGCUGGCUGUCUGUUGACCUUCUUCACACUCUCCUGUUUGUAGUGUUUCCAGCUUGCUCUCUUUGUAGAUAUUUAUCAACGUGUCUCACUUUGCUGACAUGAGUUAAUGUGUUAUUUUAAGUCAGAUUAGGCUUGCAGGGCCUGAUAACACAGUAAAUUGCCCUUGUCUUAAUGAGCCAGUUAUGCAUUAUAUUGUCAUGAACAAUCUAUUAUGGAGAAAUCUCAGUAUCUUCAUUAGUGUGUUGUGCUUUGUCUAGCAUUAUUCACUCUGAACAUGCAGACAGUAAUCUGUUGAUGUGAUGCAGGCACUUUCUUUUACCCAAUUUCUGUACUCGGUUCUAUGUUCAUGUAUCAUCAUAAAGUCAUUCAUGCAGCUAUACCAAGUGGCUUUACUGAUAUUAUGAGAUUUAAAAUGCAGAUGUAAAAUUGAAUUUGUCGUUACACUUGAAAAGCAUGAUGGGGUCCAGUACAGGUUAUGACUAAAUGAACAGUUUCACAAUCAAAAUUGACCUCUUCCCU